AUCCAGAUGACGAGUCCAAAAUAGGACGAAAUCCGCAUCCUAGAU
rnacentral:hammerhead_ribozyme from 1 species